rnacentral:tRNA from 1 species
UUAAAGGGAGACCUAAUUCAGGUAGGAGACGAAAAAAAAGUAGUCGCUACCAAGAAUCAAUCCCAAAAGGUCGGAGCGAGGCGAAAUUGGCUUUCAAACUAGGUUCUGGGUUCACACAAGACCUGAAUCAGGAACAAGGGCUAUUAGCUCAGGUGGUUAGAGCGCACCCCUGAUAAGGGUGAGGUCCCUGGUUCGAGUCCAGGAUGGCCCACCUGUACAGGUGGCAAAAAGAAAGAAAAGAAGCGAGGAAUCAGCACCUUAUCUUACUGACAUAGUAAGAGAGAAUGCUGGCUCUGAGUUCAGAGUCCAGAGGAACCUUGAAAACUGCAUAGAGCUAGGUGAAAAAGCCAAAAAAGAAGACCGCAAGUCA